rnacentral:rRNA from 1 species
CCUACGGGGGGCAGCAGUGGGGAAUAUUGCGCAAUGGGCGAAAGCCUGACGCAGCGACGCCGCGUGAGGGAUGAAGGUCUUCGGAUCGUAAACCUCUGUCAGCAGGGAAGAACGGUCACUGUGCUAAUCAGCAGUGAAUUGACGGUACCUGCAAAGGAAGCACCGGCUAACUCCGUGCCAGCAGCCGCGGUAAUACGGAGGGUGCGAGCGUUACUCGGAAUUACUGGGCGUAAAGCGCUCGUAGGCGGUAUGUCAAGUCAAGGGUGAAAUCCCCGCGCUCAACGUGGGAACUGCCUUUGAAACUGGCAGACUGGAGUGUGUGAGAGGAUAGUGGAAUUCCAGGUGUAGGAGUGAAAUCCGUAGAUAUCUGGAGGAACAUCAGUGGCGAAGGCGACUAUCUGGCACAUAACUGACGCUGAGGAGCGAAAGCGUGGGUAGCAAACAGGAUUAGAUACCCUAGUAGUC